rnacentral:misc_RNA from 1 species
GAUGAAGAACGUAGCGAAAUGCGAUACUUGGUGUGAAUUGCAGAAUCCCGUGAACCAUCGAGUCUUUGAACGCAAGUUGCGCCCGAAGCCAUUAGGCCGAGGGCACGCCUGCCUGGGCGUCACACGUCGUUGCCCCCCCAUCUACUCCUUCGGGAUUGCGGGGGGCGGAUGAUGGCCUCCCGUGCGCCUCGCCGCGCGGUUGGCAUAAAUCCCAAGUCCUCGGCGACGCACGCCACGACAAUCGGUGGUUGCGAAACCUCGGUUGCCCGUCGUGUGCGGUCGUCGCGCAUCGAGGGCUCGAAAAAAUUGCCGGGUUCCGGCUCGGCUUUCAACGCGACCCCAGGUCAGGCGGGGUUACCCGCUGAAUUUAAGCAUAUCAAUAAGCGGAGGA